rnacentral:lncRNA from 1 species
AAUGGGAAUUGCACCUAAUGGCAAUAACACCAUUGCUAGUUGAAAUUGGAAGAACUUAAAGAACCGUAGCCUCCAGGCCCUCCACAUCCUUUUCCCCUCAAUUCCCAGCUGCAAGGGUAAAAAUGUCUACAUAUAUGUUUAUAUAAGCACAACCUGUGGCAUUGUAGAUAUAUAUAAUCAAUAACACCAAAAACUUAAUAAAUUGCAUCAGAAUGCAAAAGAAAAAUAAAUAAAAAAUUAAAUAAAUAAAGGCUAUGCCAUUUUCUCUUAUUCUUUACCAGUUUCAUCGUUGCCAAAUCAUGGUGAAGAUCAAAAUCCCCCGCUACAAAAAACCAUUAUAACCAACAAAUAGAGUUGUUUCAUCAUUUUGUUUGGUGGGUCAGAAGAGAAGAUAAAAAAAUGUUAUACUUUUAAAGAAUGAUACUCUAAAUGAUAUGUUGUAAGAUAUCUCAAAACACGUGGCUUUCAAAAUAACUUUUUUACAUCAGGGUAAAACUCUUUGGUUUGUCCACACCUUUUAUUCUUCUCUUCUACGGUCCGUGUAUCAGGUAGGAAAAAAGAAUCUCUGCUUUUUUCCGCAUGAUUUACACAUAGAAGAAGAUCCAUAUCAAGAUAAAACUCUUGAGUUUCCUAUAUCAGAUUGCAGUUACUUCUAGUUCUCCAAAGUCUUGCUGAUUGUCCUUAGGGUGUGAAUUCAUGAUCUUCAUUUCUAUGAGAAAUAUCUAGCUCAAGAAAUAAGUCUAUGUGGUAUAGUUAAGGUCAUGUUCUUUCAUAUUUUAGAAGGAACCAAACCAAUGCAAACCAUGAAUCAUAGAGUAAUUUUAUAAUGAAGAGGCCAAACAAUGGUUACCAAAAGAUUGUGCCUCAUCAACUGAUUUUCACAAGAAAACUCCUUAACUUCUUAAGAAUAUCAGAUGAAAACAUAUAUUUAUUUUCAACAGACCAAAUAAUGGUUACCACCAAACUAUAAGUUUUUUACGAAAAUUGUGCGGUUGUGGAACAUCCUCGUCGCCAAUUCUUAUGUCUGCGACAUCAUCUUCUUUUGACAAUUAUCAAUGAAAUAAUCAUAAGACAACAAUACAACAAUUUCAAAAAUCAAGAUACAUGAAGAGCUUUUUGAAUAACGUAGGAAUGUGAUAGGUCCAUUAGGAAAAAAGGGGAAAUCAGUUAUAAAAUUACAAUGUCUUUACCAAUUUUGACCAAGCGAAACACGCUUUAAGCACCAAUUAAGCAGUACUCUAUGUAAAACAACAAUAGUCAUCUAUUUCAUGGAAUCAAUUAACUGUUUUGUAUUUUGUAAUCAUGUUGUGCUCUGUAUGUUGUUAUGUUAAGCUUUGGCUCAAUCAUAAGUCAUUUUUUCUGACAAUUAAUGUCCAUGACAACAUAGCUAUUAAUCUUGUGAUGGUGCGAAUGCCUAGUUGUCCAUUUCUCAUUCUACUCUAUAAAACAGGCCCAAAGAAAAGAAUAUAAAAAUAUAGUUUUGGUAAGUGGUACCUCAGCCUUUCUUGUUAUUUAUUAAAGGAGAAUAAAGAUGAUAAAAUCGAUCUAUAUUGGUUGAAAUCUCUUGCUUCCUACUUGAUGUAUUCUGUAGAACACAAUAAAAUCGUUCUUUUAGUGGAAAACAAUAAAACUUGAGUGCCAUUAUUGAAUUGAUUUUGGUAAAAUUGGCUAUAAAUAGAAAAUAAUAUUUAUUGAAUUGAAUAUUUGAGAAUCNNNNNNNNNNNNNNNNNNNNNNNNNNNNNNNNNNNNNNNNNNNNCAAUAACAAUUUUCACAUUUCUACUUAGUUAUUGAGAUAUGAAUCUUAUUGAAACAACCAAAAGAAGUAACUACAUGUUUCAAUAGUGCACAUGGAAUAUGUUUCUGCUUUAACUUCUAUAAAUAUCAAAAUUUUAAACUUUUUAGGUAUGUGGAUUUCUACAAGUGUCGAAGUUGGUGCUUGGAUUUUGAGCUUUGAUUCCGCAAUUGUAAUGUGUAAUUUUCAAGUCAUAAAGUAUACAUAUGUAAGGUAAAGAUUAAGGCAUAUAAUCAUAAGAUCAUCAAGGACCCAAGUGUAAUUGGACCCUAGAAGGAGAAAUCGGGUACGAAAUCUUCACACAUAGACAAGAACAGAAAAACCCUACACUAGGUAAACUAUGAAAUUGGAACCAAUAAGCAUACCUUGAAGCCGAAUAUCGUGUUCCACUGGGAAACUGAUUAACACCGAAUUAAUUGAAGAGGUUCCCACUUUAGGUGGAGAAGAGAUAGAGAAGAAGUCAUCGAUUAGGCCUUUGUAGAAGACGGGAGCGGGGGAGCGACGGUAAAACCAAACAACAUUGAUUGAUUGGGGCAUAAACACGAUGAUAGUGGGGGAACAGUAGGGACGAAAUUGGCCCGCUUUUGGUGACUGUACAACCCAUCAAUAACAGCACUAAAUAAAAUCAAUAGAAAUUAUAGGUAUAUCAACGAUGGAGGAAUUGAGAUUGGACACAUCAUCUGAUGGUAGAAGAUUACCUUGACAGCAUCAGUAGAUAUCUGAAUGAUGGUGGUGGAGAGUGACGAUGCAUAUGGCAGUAGACUUCACCUGCGAAUCUAAAUGGUGGUGGCAUCCUCUGCACUUGCUGCAACAGCACCAUACGCACCUUUGCACUUCAUCAUCACCGACUACGGGGUGUUUG